rnacentral:rRNA from 1 species
GGGAAUAUUGGACAAUGGGGGCAACCCUGAUCAGCCAUGCCGCGUGUGUGAAGAAGGCUUUCGGGUUGUAAAGCACUUUCAGUGGGGAAGAAGGCUUACCGGCCAAUACCCGGUAGGAAGGACAUCACCCACAGAAGAAGCACCGGCUAACUCCGUGCCAGCAGCCGCG